rnacentral:misc_RNA from 1 species
GAUGAAGAACGUAGCGAAAUGCGAUAAGUAAUGUGAAUUGCAGAAUUCAGUGAAUCAUCGAAUCUUUGAACGCACAUUGCGCCCCUUGGUAUUCCGAGGGGCAUGCCUGUUCGAGCGUCAUUAUAACCCCUCAAGCUCAGCUUGGUGUUGGGGCCUGCUGCACUGGCAGCCCUUAAAAUCAGUGGCGGCGCCAUCUGGCUCUAAGCGUAGUAAUUCUUCUCGCUAUGGAGUCCUGGUGGAAGCUUGCCAUCAACCCCCAAUUUUUCUAUGGUUGACCUCGGAUCAGGUAGGGAUACCCGCUGAACUUAAGCAUAUCAAUAAGCGGAGGA